GAACGGGUGAGUAACACGUGGGUAACCUGCCCCGAUGAUUGGGACAACCCGAGGAAACUCGGGCUAAUACCAAAUGUGACUCUGGCCAUAAAAGGCCAGAAGGAAAGGAAGCUUCGGCCUCCGCAUCGGGAUGGGCCCGCGGCCCAUUAGCUUGUUGGUGGGGUAAUGGCCUACCAAGGCGACGAUGGGUAGCUGGUCUGAGAGGACGAUCAGCCACACUGGGACUGAGACACGGCCCAG
rnacentral:rRNA from 1 species